CCAGAGGUCACUCUCGUCGCCAUCUUGGUUUUGGUGGGUUUUGGCUGGCUUUUUUACUGCAGCCUGUUUUAUCAGCAAGGUCUUUAUGACCUGUAUCUUGUGCUAACCUCCUGUCUCAUCCUGUGACUUAGAAUGCCCUAACCAUCUUGGAAUGCAGCCCAACAGGUCUCAGCCUCAUUUUACGCAGCUCCUAUUCAAGAUGGAGUUGCUCUGGUUCAACACCUCUGACAGCUUUAAUUUGGAAGAGAUGGAAAACUUUGAGGAGGUCCCGGAGAAUGACCAGCAACCUCACAGACAGAAUCCUGGGUACCUUGGGUAAAGGCUUCCUCUCCAUGCCACCCACAAGACACUGUGACCCCAAUCUCCAGCCCUCCACCUCUCUGGAAUUUUUCUAUUAUAUCAUCUGUCCACUCAACAGCUCCCCCAGAUUUUACUUGUGUUUUUUAUCAAACCUAUCAUCUUCCUCCAAAACUCGCUGCUCCUCUUGUAAUUCCUCCGUUGGUGAAAAACACUCCAUCUUCUCCAUACACGACAACAAUUGGACUUCAAAAUGAACUUUUGCACAUCAAAUGGCACUGUAAACAGAGUAAAAAGACAACCUAUAGGUCAGGAGCAGUGGCUCACGCCUGUAAUCCCAGCACUUUGGGAGGCUGAGGAUCAUGAGGUCAGGAGAUUGAGAGCAUCCUGGCUAACACGGUGAAACCCCGUCUCUACUAAAAAUACAUUACAUAUAAGCAUUGUGUAAUGCUUCCCCUGCCUACACCACGUUCAGAAUCAUACACUCUUGCUCGUUCUUCUGGGAUUCGGGGAGACAUCUGCUCCUUUCACCUAAUUUUAAUACCCAGUGUUCUAAUCCAGGUCUCAAUGUCUCUUGUAUGGGUUACCUCAACCAGCAUCCGCAUCAACAUCCCAGCCUCCCCAAGGCAUACACCAUGGACCUGAGUUGUUAGGUCAUGGGCUAUGUGUCUCCAGCUUUCAGAGAAACUCUGUAAAAUCAGAGGAGCAGCACCUCUAAUUGACUCUUCUAUUUCUACCUGAGGCAACCGGAUAUGGUAGCAAAUAUUAUACCCUAUUUGCCCCUUACUUUAAAAUCUAUUGCUUCGUUAUAUAAACUUUUACUAGGUCUUAGAUUUCUUUAGGUCUUGCCUUAUUGGAAGAAAUUCUGUGUGCAAUCUUGCUGAAGAAGGUCCUCCUAAAUGUAGGUAAAGGAAGGAAAAAAGCUGGUGCGGCUUCACCUGUAGAUGAAAUCCUGAACAGUACAGCCUUUUAGGAAAAAAAAAAAUGAUAAAAUUGGAAGUAGGAAACAUCUCAAGAAUAAAACUCUGGGGCGAAGUUUAGAAGGGGGAUGAAGGAUAAAAGACUACAUAUUGGGUAGAGUGUACACUGCUCAGGUGAUGAAUCCCCCAAAAUCUCAGAAAUCACCACUAAAGAAUUUAUCCAUGUAACCAAACACCACCUGUUCCCCAAAAACAGUUGAACUAAAAAUUAAAAAAAAAAAAAAACAAAAAAAAAACCUCCAUUCCCUGAUUAGAAACCACAAAAGGGGCCUUAAGAGGUUGUCUGUAAAUAAUGUACCUUGAAUCUCUCAAGGUCUUUCAUGCUGAUUGACCAUCACAGGAAAUGGUAUUCAAAUCAGCAUCUAUCAUUUUCGGAAGGUUUAUAAACUGACAUUUUACUUUGCCAGAAAUAGGAGACUCAGAAUCCAAUCUUGUUUGUGUCUUCUCUCGUGUUACAGAGGCAAAUGAACUGAUGAACCUGGCAGAUUUCCCAUCUUCAAACAAUGAUGGUUCAUGCUGACACUCUGUCCCUGGCUGCAGAGGGCACCUCUUUUUUUGUUCACCUGACAAAAAACAACAAUUGGAUUGGUCUCUCCCAGACCACGUGGUCCUCACAGGCUGCCCAUCAUGGGCCUCAACUCCCCUGACCACGUGGGACAGGCACAAGACCCACAGUACUCUGUUCAGACUCUCUCUCAGGCAUCUGAAAUUUCCAUGGAGACAGAAGGACAAAAGGACAGAGCUGUCUUUUCAACAAAUGUUGCUGGGAGAACUGGAUAUCUACUUGCCGAAGAAUGAAGUCAUACCCUUAUCUCACAGUAUCUACAAAAACUAGCUUAAAAUAGACUAAAGAGCUAAACGGAAAAGUUAAAAUUAUAAAACAUAAGGAGAAAGCUUCAUGGCAUUGGAUUUGGCAGUGAUUUCUUCUUUAUGACACUAAAAGCACAGGCGACAAAAGAAAAAAGACGGAAAUUGGACUCCAAAAUGAAGAAUUUUGCACAUCAAAAGGCACUGUAAACAGAGUAAAAAGACAACCUAUAGGCCGGGCGCGUGGGGCUCACGCCUGUAAUCCCAACACUUUGGGAAGCCGAGGCAGGUGGAUCAUGAAGUCAGGAGAUCGAGACCAUCCUGGCUAACACGGUGAAACCUUAAAAAUACAAAAACAAAAUGAGCCGGGCGUGGUGGCGGGCACCUGUAGUCCCAGCUACUAGAGAGGCUGAGGCGGGAGAAUGGCGUGAACCCAGGAGGCGGAGCUUGCAGCGAGCCGAGAUCGCGCCACUGCACUACAGAGCAAGACUCCGUCUCAAAAAAAAAAAAAAAAGAAAAGAAAAAAAGACAACCUAUAGAAUGCGAGAAAAUGUUUGUAAAUCAAAUUCCUAAUAAAAAAUUAAUAUUCAUAAUAUGUAAAGGACUCCUAUAACUCAACAACAACAAUUAAAAACUAGGCAAAGGACUUCAAUAGACAUUUCUCCAAAUAAGUUAUACAAAUGGCCAAUGAGCCCAGGAAGAGAUGUUCAGCAUCACUAAUCAUUAGGGAAAUGGAAACCAAAACCACAGUGAGAUCCCACCUCACACCCAUUAGGAUGGCUACUAUCAAACAAGCAGAGAAUAGCAGGUGUUGGUGAGGAUGUAGAGGGAUUGGAAGGAACUCUUGCGCAUUGCUGGUGGAAAUGUAAAAUGGUGCAGCUACUAUGGAAAGCAGCACAGAAGUUCCUCAAAAACUUAAAAAUAGAAUUACCAUAUGAUCCAGCAAUUUUGUUUCUAGGUGCAUACCCAAAGGAAUUGAAGGCUGGAACUCAAAGAGUUAUUUGUACACCUAUGUUUGCAACAGCAUCAUUUACAGUAGUGUGAAAAGAUCACCGUGGGCAUGUUAACAUUUUAAAGCAUUUAUGUGAGCAGACAAUGAUUCAUGAAUCUGGUAGCACCAAACUGCAAGUAGUUUGGGCUCCACCAAGAGGGUGUGAGGGGAAAAUUGUUAAAAGGUGAUCAUGAAAGCAAGACAAAGAAAAUAUUUGAUUGGCUAAGGCAGGAAGUCUCCAGUUAGAGGUCAGCUGGAGGUUUCUGAUUGGUAAAUUCUGUAGUGAGAGGUUAGUUAGCAGUUUCUGAAUGGUUAAGCUGGGGUUUCAUUUUCCCAGGCUAUGGUCACUCACACUGAAUGGGGUUUCAGUUUGCUUAUGUAGGAAUCCAAGGUGCUGGGUUCUCAGCCAAAUGGACUCCAAAUUAAUUGUUUUUAACAAUAGCCAAAAGGUUAAUCAGCUCAAAUGUCCACUGAUGGAAUGAGUCAAUUAAUUUGUUUACUUGUCCAUGAAUGAGUAAACAAAAUGUGGUAUAUACAUACAAUUAAAUAUUAUUCAGCCUUAAAAAGGAAGAAAAUUCUGACCCAUGCCAUAAUGUGGAUGAACUUUGAAGACAUUACGCUAAGUAAGAUAAGCCAGUCACAAAAAUAACAAACUCUGUGUGAUUCCCCUCAUAGGGGGUCCAUAGUCAAAUUCAUAGAAACAGAAUAGUGGUUGUGGGGGCUGGGCAGAGGGGGAGUCAUUGUCUAAUUUGUGGUGUUAAAUUAAGCUUAGCCUAAAGCUGACUGCUUACAUAUUUUAAGUUUAGCCUAAAGAUCCCUCCAUACAUGGUGAACUGUCUCCUAACUGGAUGUAUGAACAGAUUGUAACCUACUCUUGUACCAGUCACUGAGUUUCUGCAAAUCAAAGGUGACCAGACCCUGUUUAAAUACGGCAAACAUUGAGCUGUAGCCAAUACAGUAGUUUCUGCACCUCACUUCCAGUUUCUGUACAUUACUUUCCUUUUUCUGUCCAGCGAUCUUUGACCAUGCUGCAGCAACGGGGUCUCUCUGAACCUAUUCUGGUUUAGGAGACUGCCCAAUUCAUGAAUCUUUCUUUGUUCAAUUAAACUCUGUUAAAUUUAAUUUAUCUGAAGUCUUUAUUUUAACAAUUACAGAGUUUCAGUUUUGCAAAAUAUAAAGAGUUCUGUGGAUAGAUGGUGGUGAUGGUUUCACAACAAUGCAAUGGUAGUCAAUGCCACUGAUCCAUACCCUUAAACAGAGUGAAAAUUGUCAAUUUUAUAUUAUUUUAUCACAAUAAAAAGAAAAGGAGGUCAGAGCUGAGCCAUCAGGCAACAGCCUCCAGAGUGUUGCUCUGUCAUUGUGUGCUGUUGAAGCCCCCGGUGCUUCCCUGACCCCUCCAUGGCAGACCUGAAGGUUCGGCGCUCUUUUCUAGCCUGUGAGUGCCCCGUUAUGUUUACCAUCAAGUCCUCUUUCGGACGAAGUCACCCAGGGUAGGCUUCCUUUUGCCAAAGAGCAUUCCCUGAAAUGCCAGCAUUCUACAUAAAGUGGCUGCAGCUAUCUGCCUACCAGAGAGCCAUCCCCAAAUUGUUCUAUGGAAAAAAGAAUACCUGCCGUUUGCUUGCCACCCCUUAUGCACCCUGCUGCCACCUCGUUCCAGGGUCAUCCUAAGCCCUCCAGAAUGAAGAUUUAUUUGGCAGUACAUUCAUGUUUUUAUUUUGGUUUCUGUCUAAUAUUCUUUCCUAUUUUCAUUCCUGUAGUGGCAGGUACCACAGCUCAUGGGCCAGUAAAAGCUACCAAUUGCACCAGUCCUGAUUCCUGGGCAUGAUGUGAUAGUCUUCACUCAUCCUGUCUGGGUGAGGAGCUUGUGCAGACAUCAUCUUCAUCUUACCCAAGAGAAAACGGAGGCUCCAAGAGGGGAGGGGAUUUUCCCAAAGUCUCAGAAUGAAUAAGAUGAUGGAGCCAGUGUCUUGCCCAGCCCUGUCUAACUUCAAAGACCAUAAUCUCUAUCCAUUGGAGAAAGCGUGGCUGGGAUGUUCUGUAUAUCGGAGUAGCUCUUGGAUCAAAUGCUAAAGAGCCAGAGAUAACUCUCCAAAUCACAUAGAUUGAUUUGAGACUAAGACUCAUUAUUAUUACUUAAAAAAUAUAUUUUUUAAACUACUUAUGGCAUGAAAAGCAAAUUUGCAAAUUGAAACAAGGCAGUCAAUAGAUCAACAGAUGUCAUUUUUUAAAGCCAAAUUGAACACAUUCACUAGAGCAUAUGAGACUCAGUGGCAGAGCAAGAGAUCAUGAAAUUAAAUUAAAUUUACUUUAAUUAAUGUAUAAAUCUACAAUUUAAUUAAUUGGGUUAAAUUACUGCAAAACACAGCCAAUCUCAAAUGGAGGGAUUUCUGAAUCAAAG
rnacentral:lncRNA from 10 species